rnacentral:tRNA from 1 species
CAGGCCAUUUCUAUUUAGUUGGGUUUUCAUUUACGCUGAAUUAUUGUGUCGUGCGAUUCGACAUGGUCUGA